CCCUCCUUCUCUGAAACAACCUGAUCCCACACAGCACACAGUCUUGAGGGGCUGAUGGUCUCACGAAAGGCCUGUUUUCUUUCCCCGGCUGCCCUAACACUGUGUGGUGGAAGGACGUGGUUCGUCAAAUGGGAGGACAGGCUGCGCCAAUCAUCAUGAUCUAGCACCCUGGGCUACCGUAUAGGUUCUGGCCAAGCAAGUGGGUUUGAGCAGCCCCGUGUUGAGGGCCUCAUUCCCUCUCUGGCCUUAGUCCAAACACCGGACUCCCACAGCACUGCUGUCCCUCCCCGACGCGGGACCAUUCUGCAGGAGAAGGGCACAACUUGUCCCAGAUUUGCCCAAUGUCAGAGGCAUAAAUACUCCAAACCUAGGAAUCAGAGAGAGCUACCCUGUUGGGAGAAGAAGGCAGAGAAUCCAGGCGAGUGGGAUGGCCUCACACUAAGUGCUUUCUAACUGAGUUAUUUUUAAAGAACAACACUUUUAAAAACGGCUCAGCCCCCUUAGGGACCUUCCGCAAGCAGCCGUUGUUCUAAAGGGUUAGUAUCCAACAGCCCGAGUCCUGCUAGUGAGCUUUCCU